AUUGAACGCUGGCGGCAGGCCUAACACAUGCAAGUCGAGCGAGCGGCGAACGGGUGAGUAAUGUAUGGGGACUGCCCGAUAGAGGGGGGUAACUACUGGAAACGGUAGCUAAUACCGCAUACUAUCGGAUGACCCAUAUGGGAUUAGCUAGUAGGUGAGGUAAUGGCUCACCGAGGCGACGAUCCCGAGCUGGUCUGAGAGGAUGAGCAGCCACACUGGGACUGAGACACGGCCAAGACUCCUACGGAGGAAGCAGUGGGGAAGAUUGCACAAUGGGCGCAAGCCUGAUGAAGCCAUGCGGCGUGUAGGAAGAAGGUCUUAGGGUUGUAAAGUACUUUCAGUCGGGAGGCGUUACCGAAAGAAGAAGCACCGGCUAACUCCGUGCCAGCAGCCGCGGUAAUAC
rnacentral:rRNA from 1 species